CUCCUUGUCUCGCUACCUCCUGUCCCUCCACCUCCAGGCCACAUCCCAAACCUGCCCUCUUGCUACUGUAAUUGUAAAUAGAGACCUUUCAAAUGUUAGUGGUGUAACCGUCCAGGAAACUGUUGUGUUUGUUGUUGUUGUAUUGAUAUGAAAUGAGAUUCUAUUUUUGUCAAAGUAUAUUGUAAUAAUAAUGACUCAAAUGGCCCGUACUGUACAGAUGAGAUUCUUCUGCUGUGUUCUUGCCUUCCUCUCCAGACUAAUGCUUUGUUGCCUCCUCAGUGGGGCUGCAGCAAGCACCAGGGGCAGUGGAAGAAGCAUUGGGUCCUUGGACCUCUUGCUGGAUCUGAGGUCAGACUGGAGGGAAUAGUUUGCCCCCUCCCCAGCCUGCUGUCACCACCCCUGCCCUUCCUCUGCUUCCCCACCUGGGGAAAGGGGAUGGGAGACAGCACACACUCCCUUGGAGUUCCUCCCAGCUGGAGGGUAGAGUUAGACAAGGCUCAGUGUUGUAGUACGAUGGUCUUUGCCCACCUGUGACCCAGCCUUUUGUAGUAUUUUGACACUUGAUGCAGGGAAGGAGCCAGAAGCAGAGGGGUGUGAGCAUGCUCGUGGAGGCGUAUCUGGGUUCACCCUGUAUUUAUGUGUUUGUGUGCAGCUGUGCGGAUGUACCUUUGAGUGACUCAAGCUCCAAGGGCCUCUGUGUGAGCUGGGUGUGUUUACAAGGGAUCAGCGCCUUCCAACUCUGUGGCUUCACCCCCUCCCCGGGCUGCUCUCAGUCCCAAAACAUUUUACUAAAGUCAUGGGGGACGGGUGCUAGUUGGCCUUCCUGUUUCUCCCCACAGCCUACCUCCACCAGGGCUUCACAUUUGGAGCUCUGCCUCCAUAUGGCUGUCCACUAGCCCCACCCAGGCAUGGUUCAUCCCUGGAGUUCUGACUUGUUUAUGGAGCCAACUCAAGUUCUUCUUGCCCGGAGCUUUGCCUUUUGUAAGGCAGGGACCCUCCCUUAACCAGAGUUUACCCCAGUAGCUGACCAAGCAUGGGGUGCUACCCACAUGCCUCACCUUCCCACUCCUCCUCACAAGUCCUGGAGGGAGUUUUAAGACUUGCUUAUGGCCUUGAAAGAAGCCAGGGUUGUAGCCCUGUGCUCCCCUUGAAGUAGCUGGCACAUUGUAGGCCCUCAGUAAAUGCUGAAUGGGUGGAUGACAGGUGCUCAAUAAAUGUGGAUUCACGGCCUCAUCUCAGGCCCAUCCUUCAAGGCUGAGCUUGGCCACCAUUACAGUUGUGGGUGAAGCCCCUAUAGUUCACAGUGUGCUACUCAACAGUUUGCCAUCUGCUUCCCGAAAGCAAACCUGGCUUGUGAUUGCCAUGUACGGAUGCGUGCAUGCACUGUGUGUGUGUGUGCGUGCGUGUGCGUGUCUGUGUCUGCACACACACGUAUGAGUUCUUGUGUGUCUCUGUCCCUGACUGAAGGGGCAGUCUGUGAAUGAGUAUGUGACAUUUCUGCAGUUUAGUAUCCCCAGGUUUCUCCUGGGGCUAUGCAGGGGCUUCUGGCUGGCCAGGUAAAUGGAUCCCUGGGAACCUAGACCUCAAAUGGGGACUUAUUUUCUUCCUCUCACAAGCCAAAUUUGCCUACUCUCCACUCCCUAUACAGAACUGGGUAUUUGCCAAAGUAGCCUCUGGCGUCAUCCAGUGCCCUUCCCACCCAGGUUCCCCUCUGCUUUCAGGGAUAGUGGGACCGAGGGCCACCCCCACAUGCCUCAGUUUAGCACAUUUCCUCCAUCCCCAGCAGUGCAUCCACCCACCCUCCCCAACUCCAACAGGAAGGAAGAAAGAAAUGCACCUUCUCUUGCUCGUUAUUUAUUUGUUUGGAGAGACAGAAAUGAUGGAAAAGUAUCUAAAUCUAUCUCUCUCUCUAUUUUUACCUAACUCUCUGGAACCCCUGUGGGGGAAUGUAGGCUCUCCUAAGAGGCUGGGAGCUCCUUGUUCUACCCUGUCUGCCUCUACAUAAGCAGAAGGGGUGGGAUGUAAUGGGGCAGGAGGGCUGAGAUUCCCAAGGAGAAUCUGAAUUCUCUACCCCCAUUCAAGUCCCAGAAAGAGGGAAGAAGGGAGGGAUGGGCCAGCCAAGAGCUGACCCGUCCCCAAACUUGACAAUCACCCACACUCCUGGCUCCUGGGUCUGGGUGAGUCCAAGUGUGUGGCUGUUGGUUUGUUUUCAUUAUUUCUUUCCGUGCUGUACGGUGAUGCUUUCUAGUAUUCUGCACAUUAAGAAAAGUCCUCGAGAUUCUUACGAGUUUGGUUUGAAAACUCUUUCACUAUAUUUGUUGUAAAGAGGUUUACUAUUAAAAGAA
rnacentral:lncRNA from 1 species